GACGAACGCUGGCGGCGUGCCUAACACAUGCAAGUCGAACGGACGAGGCUCCUUCGGGGGCUGAGUUAGUGGCGAACGGGUGAGUAACGCGUGAGGAACCUGCCUUUCAGAGGGGGACAACAGUUGGAAACGACUGCUAAUACCGCAUGACACACGGAUACCGCAUGGUAACCGUGUCAAAGAUUUAUCGCUGAAAGAUGGCCUCGCGUCUGAUUAGCUGGUUGGUGAGGUAACGGCCCACCAAGGCGACGAUCAGUAGCCGGUCUGAGAGGAUGAACGGCCACAUUGGGACUGAGAUACGGCCCAGACUCCUACGGGAGGCAGCAGUGGGGAAUAUUGGGCAAUGGGGGAAACCCUGACCCAGCAACGCCGCGUGAAGGAAGAAGGCUUUCGGGUUGUAAACUUCUUUUACCAGGG
rnacentral:rRNA from 1 species